GCCGACCACUCCAUAAGCCACUAGUGGCUGAGAGAAAGCGAGCAGCACCUUGUAUAGGUUGGGCGGAGCUUGAAGAAGCGAGUCCCUUUCAGAGAAAGCCAUUGCGCGCUAGCCUAGCUAGCUAACUUCAGCUGGCUGUUAUCUUAGUUGUAGCGCGCCUUCCCUCCUUCUCUCACUUCGGAAAGAUUUAGCAGUAUUUUUCUUAUGAUGACCGGGUCGAGAGAGUACGAUACAUCGGUG
rnacentral:lncRNA from 1 species